rnacentral:lncRNA from 1 species
AUUAUCUUACCUCCUAUGCAUUUCUAGGAAUAUGAUUGGUUAAAAGUGUCCGCGUGAAGACCGUGUAUAUUUCAUGUUAGGUUAGUAGGAAGGCGGGGGUUAUCUCAUACACAGUCAGUAGUGUAGUUACGUCCCUUUAUAUUCCAUAUUAGGUAAGAAGGGAGACGGGGCUUACUUCAUACCCGGUUAGUAAUGGUGUUACGUCCCUUUAUAAAAACAAAACGGUACUGAGAAAAAAUCUUAUAGGUUUCAACAAACGAAGAAAUCGACGAUUUAGAUUGAAAUAAA